rnacentral:lncRNA from 1 species
AGGGUUUCAGCUUCAAUUUUUCGGAAAAACAAACGCCUAAAAAUCAGCUACAAGGUUAAACGUCUGAACAACACAUGCACAUUUACUUGAAAAGCAAUACAUGCGUCAAAAUAAAAAUGAGAAAAAGGAUUUCAUGCGCAUACCUAAUCCAAAAUAUUGUCAGUUUCAGAGCAGACACCAAGAGGUGGUGUGCUUCGUAUUAUCACUCUACUUUUCCUUGUUACCCAUCUGUUUUUGCUUACAUCAGCCCAUUAAUUCUCCUAUUUUUACAGUUUCGUGACACCUUUUCCCGAAUAAGACAAGUGAAACACAUCUGUAGAUCUUCUUUUUGAGGUUGACCAAUUAUUUUGACGUUGUUGCGACCUGUGGCAUUUGAUUUUCUUUUGCGUGCAAAAAUCCUAUAAAAUUCAAGAAAAUUAUAUCUAUUUCUAGUUCCUUGUGCCAUGACGUAUCCUAUUCUUACGAUUACUUUCAUAGCUUUUCUGGAAACUGCCUCUUGUCAAGUCACGGGACAAGUCAAUAAUAGAGGACGGUCAAAUUGGUGCUCAAUAGCGUGCUUCCGUCAGCCACAGUUUGCCGUACACUCGCCCCCAUCUUACGCUUCGCCCCCAACACGCAAGUAGGAGGUUCGGAGGAAAUGGAAAUGGAAAUAGAAGUGGAUCUCAAGGAAGCAGCCCCUCGUCAAUACCAGGAUCAACUGUGUACUUCCCUCAAGGGAGGGAUCUAGAGGAGUUCAUGCGAAAGUACCCACAUUCGUACACACAAGUACACCCCAAUUCGGGCGAACUUUCAAUGUAUUAUGGUGAUCAAGGGGCCAGUUCAUCUUCAGGCCCGAAAGUUUCAUCUCCAAGGCUACCCAAGCUCAAACCCAGCCUUAGCUUCGGCAGCUCCUCCUCAAGAGGAAGCCCUGGCCCCGAAUAUGACAGGCGACUGUGGGAUUGCUGGAACGAUUGCAUCUUGUACCAUGGUUACUUCAGAAAGUUAACUUAUAUAAACCAAGCAGGCCAGACAAUGAAGCGGAUAGCGGAUCCAAAGCUGAUCAAGCGGGAAUCAGCUCCCUCUCGAAAUCUGAGUUUUGGGACCCUCAGGAUCACCUCUUCUUUUCAUGGAAAAGGUGUUGAUAGUGGCGACUUCCUCCCAAAAGGGAGAGGGGGAGGCACAUCAUCUAGAAGUGAUUCUUCUAAAGAAUCGUCUCCGCGGUUCCCAUCCCCCAGGGCCAAUCCCCACGAUAAAAGUCCAUGGAUAUGCUUUUGCAAGCUUUCUGAAGAGUUGAUUGAUGUUCUAAAGGCCCAUAAAAGAGACGUAAAAUCAUUCGUGAAAGACAACAGACUCCUGGAGAAAGAGCUCCACGAAUUCCUCCAGUCACAUCGGUAUGACAUCGUUCCUUACAGUCAACUCGGGACAAAAGCAGAAGAGAGUCUGCUUGGCAACAAUGUGCAAACUAUUUGAGGCGGCAAAGCCUUUGAAUUCAGUUCAACGUAGGAAUCAGUAUCAAAACCCAGUCGUCGCCGACCAUAGGAUUGCCAAAAUGUUUAAAAAUUUGACAACUUCCUCGAUAAUCUUUUUUUUUAAUGUGAAGUGAGCCAACACCUUUAGAUCACUGAGCUAAUCUGAACCAAUCUGGUUGUAUAAUAAUCUUUUUCACUAAUAACGUGAUUUUUUGUUUUUAUAUCUUGGACUAAUUGCGCAAUGCUUAUAGAAGUACACUAAACGCGUGGCAUCUGUAAGCACAGUCGUAUCUUGUUAUAACGUUUCACUAAAUACUUUUGCUCGAAAUAAAAAAAUUUCCCGGCAACAAUGUUCAUUUUAUCAAGUCCAGGCCGGCUAUUAAGCGCUCAGCCGAUAGGCAGCGCUUUUGAUUUCGACUUGCCUCUAGAAUACUAGUAUACUAGUGCUAAUUCGUUUAAAUGGCGCACCAGCUCAUCGAUGAGACGGCUUUUUUCCGUACAAUUUUAAAAUAAAUAAAGCUGUGAAAACCGUAUUUUAUGCUUUUUACGUAAUGCGGGGGUAGUUUCGAAUGCUUUUCUAAAAGAAAAUGCUUUAGCGGUAGAGUAAUUCUUAUCGAAAUUGAUCGUUGAAAAUUUGAUGAGCGGAUAAAACUCGCCUGAUGAGCUCAACGGAGGCUAUCAUUUUCGGGAAACGAAAAAACUCGUUUACAUAGACAAUAUUGCGCUCCCUUCAUUACUUUACUAAUGUGGAAGAUUGUUCCCAAGUUCUGUUGUGUACGGCGUGUAGUAGCACAAGCACCUUGCGUCAGUGUCACUCUCAUUGGUUUUCGCUGUGUACGGCGUGUAGUAUCACACGCACCUUUCGUCAGUGUCACUCUCAUUAAUUGUAAGCGAUAUAUCGAAUCUGAAGAUUAAUUUACGUUGACACAACUCAUUGCCAGAUAGUGUCUCUCUUCAUCUGUGAGUUCCUCUGUGAAAGUUCCAUUCCUUAGUUUCCUUGGUAACCUUUGUUUGCUAUCAGCUGAUGUUUUAUUUUCAUUUCCCUGCCAAGUCGACGGAUUUUAUACUUCCUUUUUUUUUUUUUAAAUCAUUGCUAGGUUAGUUCUAAUUUUUUUGCCAGCAUUUAUUCUACCCUCCCCCCUCCCAGCUCAUUUUUCUAACUCCCGCAGCCCCCCCCCCCCAUUCAUUUUAUUUAUAUUUUCUUCUUAUGGCAUGCCUUGCUCCCCUACCACCAUUUUUUCGGGGUUUCAUUCAUAGGGAUAAAAUAUUGUAUUGUCUGUAGAUCUUCGAUAUAUUGUUCGAUGUAAAGCAGGAUAUGGACAGGGAUAAGAUGGAAUUUAUUGAUAUUAACAAUAUUAAUAAUAUAUUAACAAUAUUAUUAAUCAAUUACAGUGGCGUGGCGUGAAUGAUCGAUUAUCGAUAUUUCCCCAUCUGAAUCCGUGGUAAAUAAUCGAUUAUUAAGGUGUUCGCUGCGAACACCCAGUUAAUCGAUCCAUUUCCAUGGGUUUAAAUGACGAAUCAAUCGAUACAUCGCAAAGCACGCCACGCCACUGAUCAAUUAUUAACAAUGUAAAUUCAGAAGGGCA